rnacentral:lncRNA from 1 species
CUUGUUGAGGGCAGAAGCUGUGUGAUUGGCUUCUUUAUGCAGUGGGAACCUGGCCCAGUGCCUUGUGUAUGGGAACCACUUGCCAUAUUUUAGCUGAGUGAACAAAUCUAUAAAUGACAAGUACUGAGAUUCUUUAUGGAGUGCACAUUGACUAGUCAUGGUCAAGAUCUCCUUUUGGAUUCAGGUGACAGCAGGAAGAGCAUGGUCUAAUAAACAGAGAAGGCUCAGGAGGGUCAGAAACACGGUGCCUCAUUUCUCAGCCUACUUGCCAAGAAUUCCCAAAAAGGAAGCACUGGAGGAUCAUUCCAAGGCUUGAGGUCCAGGACUACCCACUUCCCUUGGAAUGGUGUUGCCAUCACUGUUCUGGCACCGGAGGUAAGGAUUCUACAUCGUUAGGAGAAAAGAAAAAGGAGAAUUUGGGCUUGCACUGAGAGGAUUACCUUUGGUGGUCUGGAAGUGGUGAUUGGUGAUAAUGAAACCUACCUUGCUGUUUCAUGUUGAGGAAUCACUGUGAGAAGGGGUUGCAGCAUUGAAGGCACCAUCUUGGAAGCAGAGACUAGACCCUCACCAAGCAAUUAACAUGCUGGUGCAUUGAUCUUGGACUUUCCAGCCUCCAGAACUGUGAGAAAUAAAUUUCUGUUCUUAAUUAAUUACCCAGUCCCAGGUAUUCUGUUAUAGCAGCACAAAGCUUAGACGGGCUCCUUACAUCUUGAGGCUCCAUUAUCUCCUGGGAACUGGGAGUCCUUAGGUUCUAGCCAUGGAAAGAGAAACAAAAGAUGGAGAAGGCACACAUGCUUCUUAAUGGUCGUGGUUCAGAAGUAACAAAUACUAAUUCUAUAUAUUCUACUGGCUCAACACAAAUGCAGGGGUGUGCUGGGAAUGGAGUCUCUGAUUGGGCAGCAGGGAUCAGGGAUCAAAGAUCAGGAAAUAUUCCAGGGUGAAUAUUUUACUAGGUGAGGAGGACCAUGAAUUUUGACAAACAGCCUUUGCUGCUCUACCCACUCCUCAUCAUCACUGUUAGACACAAAGAGAAAUGGCAGCACUUUUUGUCCAUUGAUUGUAACUCUUUCUUUAAAGACUUUUAAGGCAGAAUCUCAAUUCAUCUCUUCUAUGAAACUUUCAUGAUUCAAAGGGAAGUCCCUGCAUGGACACUGCCAGCUUCAUUGCACUUCUGCCUCUAUGCUUUUUCCUGAACCUUCUCCACCUCUGGAACGUACUUCAGGCUGCACAGGGAGCAUGGCUGGGAGGCCUCAGGAAACUGACAAUCAUCAGUAGAAGAUGAAGAGGAAGGAGGCGCAUCUUACAUGGCCAGAGAAGGAGGAAGAAUAAGAAGGGAUUCUCCAGCUGGAGCCCUAUAAAUUGGACUGACAAAAGACAGAUUAGCAAGAGAAAUGCAAGCAGCAGUUUAUUAACAUGUGCAUCAUGAUUACACAUGGAAGUACCCAGAGGUCAUAAGACCUCAUGUGACAAGUGCCCUCCUUACUCCCAGAGAAAAGGAAGGAAGACACAGAAACACCACGAAGAAUAUGGACAAACAGACCUUGCUAAGUUCCCCCCCAUUUAUUACCAUGACAUCAUACUCCCUUUGUCCAAUCACACUUUCAUCAAACCUGAGCAUGAAAAUACACAGGUUUCUCUGUUUGGGGGGUGGGUCUUCAUUUUUGAAGUUUCCAUGUCAUGUAAAACUUAUAUUAAAGAAAUGUGUAUGUUUUACCCUUGUUAAUUU